UAGUCUCGCACAGAUGCAUAUCAAUAAGCGGAGGAAAAGAAACUAACAAGGAUUCCCCUAGUAACGGCGAGUGAAGCGGGAAGAGCUCAGAUUUGAAAUCUUAAAGGGUUUCCCUUUACGAAUUGUAGUUUAAGGAAGUGUUUUCUGUUGAGGUCUUGGUAAAAGUUCUUUGGAAUAGGACAUCAUAGAGGGUGAGAAUCCCGUAUUUGACCUUUACUUUCAACUUUGUGAUACACUUUCAAAGAGUCGGAUUGUUUGGGAAUGCAGUCCAAAAUGGGUGGUAAAUUUCAUCUAAAGCUAAAUAUUGGCGAGAGACCGAUAGCGAACAAGUACCGUGAGGGAAAGAUGAAAAGAACUUUGAAAAGAGAGUUAAACAGUACGUGAAAUUGUCAAAAGGGAAGCGUUUGACACCAGUGUUGUUUUUCUGAAAAUCAAUUAAAGAACUGUUUAUGCUAAGUUGUUUAGACUUUAUCAGCUAUCUGUUUAGUUUUGAGCUUUUCUUUAAUGCACUUUUCAGUUAACAAGUCAACAUCAAUUUCUUUUGCUGUAAAAAAGCUUGAGGAAGGUGGCUUGAGAUUCGUCUUAAGUGUUUAUAGCCUCUUGCCUAUGCAGUCGGAGAGAUUGAGGUCUGCAGCGUAGAUCCUUCGGGGCUAAAUGCAUUUGUGCUAAGUUAUAGCAUUUUCAUAGACAACUUGUUGACUAUGAUUUGUCUUGUAGCUUACUCGCUUAUGUUAUUUUACCUACGCUUAGGAUGUUGACAGCAGUAUAGACUGU
rnacentral:rRNA from 1 species